GACGAGCGCUGGCGGCGUGCCUAAUACAUGCAAGUUGAGCGAUGAAGAUUGGUGCUUGCCCCAAUUUGAAGAGCAGCGAACGGGUGAGUAACGCGUGGGGAAUCUGCCUUUGAGCGGGGGACAACAUUUGGAAACGAAUGCUAAUACCGCAUAACAACUUUAAACAUAAGUUUUAAGUUUGAAAGAUGCAAUUGCAUCACUCAAAGAUGAUCCCGCGUUGUAUUAGCUAGUUGGUGAGGUAAAGGCUCACCAAGGCGAUGAUACAUAGCCGACCUGAGAGGGUGAUCGGCCACAUUGGGACUGAGACACGGCCCAAACUCCUACGGGAGGCAGCAGUAGGGAAUCUUCGGCAAUGGACGAAAGUCUGACCGAGCAACGCCGCGUGAGUGAAGAAGGUUUUCGGAUCGUAAAACUCUGUUGGUAGAGAAGAACGUCGGUGAGAGUGGAAAGCUCAUCAAGUGACGGUAACUACCCAGAAAGGGACGGCUAACUACGUG
rnacentral:rRNA from 1 species